UACGGGGGGAGCAAGCGUUGUUCGGAUUUACUGGGCGUAAAGGGCGCGUAGGCGGUCAGCACAAGUCAGUUGUGAAAUCUCCGGGCUUAACUCGGAAAGGUCAACUGAUACUGCGGGGCUAGAGUGCAGAAGGGGCAACUGGAAUUCUCGGUGUAGCGGUGAAAUGCGUAGAUAUCGAGAGGAACACCUGCGGCGAAGGCGGGUUGCUGGGCUGACACUGACGCUGAUGCGCGAAAGCUAGGGGAGCGAACGGG
rnacentral:rRNA from 1 species